rnacentral:rRNA from 1 species
GAUGAACGCUGGCGGCGUGCCUAAUACAUGCAAGUCGAGCGAACGGACGAGAAGCUCGCUCCCUUGAUGUUAGCGGCGGACGGGCGAGUAACACGUGGAUAACCUACUUAUAAUACUGGGAUAAUUUCGGGAAACCGGUGCCAAUACUGGCUAAUACUUUGUACCGGUUGGUUCAAAAGUGAAAGACGGUUUUGCUGUCUCUUUUAGAUGGAUCCGCGCUGCAUUAGCUAGUUGGUAAGGUAACGGCUUCCCAAGGGAACGAUGCAUAGCGGACCUGAGGGUGAUCGGCCACACUUGAACUGAGACACGGUCCAAGCUCCUACGGGAGGCAACAGUAGGGAAUCUUCCGCAAUGGGCGAAAACCUGACGGAACAACGCCGCGUGGGGGGUGGAAGUCUUCGGGUCGUAAAACUCUGUUAUUAGGGAAAAACAUGUGUGUGAGUAACUGUGCGCAUCUUGACGGUACCUAAACAGAAAACCACGGCUAACUACGUG